AUUGAACGCUGGCGGCAGGCUUAACACAUGCAAGUCGAGCGGGGUGAUGGUGCUUGCACUAUCACUUAGCGGCGGACGGGUGAGUAAUGCUUAGGAAUCUGCCUAUUAGUGGGGGACAACAUCUCGAAAGGGAUGCUGAUACCGCAUACGUCCUACGGGAGAAAGCAGGGGAUCACUUGUGACCUUGCGCUAAUAGAUGAGCCUAAGUCGGAUUAGCUAGUUGGUGGGGUAAAGGCCUACCAAGGCGACGAUCUGUAGCGGGUCUGAGAGGAUAAUCCGCCACACUGGGACUGAGACACGGCCCAGACUCCUACGGGAGGCAGCAGUGGGGAAUAUUGGACAAUGGGGGGAACCCUGAUCCAGCCAUGCCGCGUGUGUGAAGAAGGCCUUAUGGUUGUAAAGCACUUUAAGCGAGGAGGAGGCUCUUUUGGUUAAUACCCAAGAUGAGUGGACGUUACUCGCAGAAUAAGCACCGGCUAACUCUGUGCCAGCAGCCGCCGUAA
rnacentral:rRNA from 1 species